GUUGGAUGGUGUUCCGCGAUGAUGAUUCGAGUCGCAUGAUGAUCAUUUCGACACUGUGAAACCUUGUACAUAUUGCUGUGCGGGGUGCAGAUGUGCAACAACCUAAUACCAACACUUAAAUCGUUCAAUCUCUGAGUUAUCUGGAAGCACUGCAGCAGCGAAACGUCGAGAGCCACCGCUAAUGACUCCGACAAAGGUGUAAUUUCUGCCCGGCGGAAAAAAAAUCCAUAUUUCUUCGAUGACGAAGACAUCACUUGGCCGAAAGGAAGGACAGAAAACAUUUCCACCCUCCUAGAGUGUACUCACGGAGAAAUGGUACGAGCAUUCCAUCUUGAGCUAAAACCGUGCUGCACGUCAGAGCGUUGCGCGUCUGUAUGUGUGGGUGAGGGCUAUAGGGUGGCAGGGUGUUUGGAAGACGAAGAGGACCACGGAGUUUCGGAACACCGCAUCACUCUGCUCUGUUGCCAACCCAGGAAAGGGAAACAAUAUAUUACCUCCCUUAUGAAGCCUAUGCAUCAAGUUCUAAGAAGACACCCUCCAGCAUUCAGCUGCAACUAAAACAGUUCCAGUUCGUUAACAAAUCAAGCACCCACGAAACAAAAGGAACAGAAAUCGCUUUCGCAGAAAACGUCAGAAAAUCGACCGACACAUCACGGUUAAUCAAAGGCCGGCACGAGGCGUUAAUAAGUGCAGCCCUCGGCUGGCAGCACGCGUUAUCAAGGCGCGAACCGUUUAUUAAUAACGAAGAAAAGCUAUCUGGAACGCCCCUCGCCAGCGUGUAACUCGAAAUUCCGCUCGCAACUUCGUUUCUUGCACGUGUGUGCGUCAGGGUUAUAUCCGUCG